rnacentral:pre_miRNA from 1 species
AAUAGGAGAAUGACAAAUUAGAUUUUUCCUCCUGAUUGUCCGCUUUGUACUCUUGAAAAAAUUCAAAUUUAACUAAAAAUAUUAAAAAUUAGAGGAAAAAUCUUAUUUGACAUUCUCCUAUU